UACGGGGGGGGCAAGCGUUGUUCGGAAUUACUGGGCGUAAAGGGCGCGUAGGCGGCCUUCUAAGUCGAACGUGAAAUCCCCGGGCUCCAACCCGGGAACUGCGUCCGAUACUGGAAGGCUUGAAUCCGGGAGAGGGAUGCGGAAUUCCAGGUGUAGGCGGUGAAAUGCGUAGAUAUCUGGAGGAACACCGGUGGCGAAGGCGGCAUCCUGGGACCGGUAUUGACGCUGAGGCGCGAAAGCGUGGGGAGCGAACGAGG
rnacentral:rRNA from 1 species